rnacentral:lncRNA from 1 species
CGUGUGACUCGCGGGCAAGUCAACUACAAUGACAGUCGGUCAAUAAUAUCAAUCGUCGCUUCCGUCAUAUCAAAAGAAAAGCCUUCUCACUGUAUUUUUCCUCAAGAAAUUUCCACCGUAAAGUGAUUAUAACUUUGACCGGAAAGUCUCAUGCUUUCCUAAUAAGUUUCAGAGGUCUCCGAGAGGUCUCUCCGAGUGUCGUCGAGAUAACUGCUUUUCGUGCCUCGUGUACACAGAGACCAACGUUUACACAGUCUUUAUUCUUCCAGAUGCUGCUGCUGCUGCUGUUAUUGCUAUGGCAGUCUCGGAAAUAGAGCCAACGACGCCACCUUUCUUUGACUCGAUGUUGAAAACGACAUCCUGUUUCAGCGUUAAUCAUAUGAUGGUUCGUCUAACAAUACUGUCGCGUAGUGACACGUAACUUUUCGAAAACGCAGCAACACACGCGACGAUCUCGAUACUCCACUGAUUUCUCAUUUCGCGCUAAUUUAAUGUAAAUACAUGCAGUUCAGCGAUAAGUAUUUGCAUGUGCAACGUGGCACAUAAGAAGCGUCGGAGUUUCUAUUUGUCGCAGUGAUGACGAUCUCUCGGCAAAGGGAAGUAACGUGAUACCUUGCUUACUUACUCGGUCUCUCUGCAUGUAAUUUACUAUACACCAAGAAGAAUCUUAAUUACGUCGCGCGGAAUAAUUAUGCACGGUGACAGGAGUGUCGCCACAUUUAUGCGAUCAAAUAUGUGAAUAAUUGGAUGCCCGAUCGCAUAUUUAAUGAGAGAAUGACAUUGUAAAAAUCGUUGAUCGUCUCGUCAAGUAUAUUUUAAGAUUUUAAUAUCGUCAAGUUUCAUCAGCAAUGUGCAAAUUCGAGUCGAUCUGCGGCACUAUUCUCUGGUUCUCCGAACAGAACAACAAAAAGAAUUUUCGUAGAAAUGCGAAAACUUGAAUUAAAUAAAAUAUUUCGCGAGUCUCUCAAGAGAGAAAAUGACUUUGACAAAAGUUGGCGACUUACAUCCCGAUGAAAAGUGGAAAAACUGUUGAGCUAAAAAAUGAUUCUGCCAGGCUUUCAGUCGAACGAUGUCUUCUCGGUUGUUUAAGCUAUGAAGAAUUAAUAUUUUCGAUGAUGUGAACGUGCCCAGAGAAACAUCCUGUAAAUCAUGCCAUUCCUGCUAUAAAUUGUCAUUGUCAAAACGAAGAGUUUUACAUGAUGUUUUAUUUUGGUAGAGUAACAAAAUAUUCGAGAUCGAAUUAAUUUACUUCGGGCUUGAAACAUUCUGGUGUAAUGAAAAAUCAUUAAUGCACCCCUCCGGGAACGACAGAUAAAUUAAAUCAUAAGCGUAUUUAAUAAAGCUCGACCGUGCUCAGCGUUUCAUAAACACUUAAGAGUUAACUCCUUGUCCUUCGGGAUAAGGCAAAACCAUUCUGCACUCCCGUUUAAUAUAAAAUAUGACGAAAUGUUCCAGUGUCCGGCACUGAACAAUAGUGACACUUUACAGGAAGACAGCUAAAAAUUUUCGUAAUUAUACGGGAUAUGCAAAACAUAUAUUCCAAGUAGAAUUUACAAAAUUUUCAUCCUUUCAUCCUUUUUAGAAUUUGCACGAAUAAAUGAUCGAAGAGAGAAAUAUCGUCGUUACAGAAUUAAAUGAAGAUAUCAGUAUGAUUAAAUCAUAAUUAUAUUGUACAUAAAAUGAGCGGACAAUUUUAUCGAUUCAAGAAAGUUGGAAGAAAGAAAUGUCGUUAACUUUUUCAAAUCUUAACAGCUUUCUCACGAUAAUACAUCUAGGAUUAUUUUAGGCAUGCUGGCAAAAGUUUUCUCGGCCCGAUGAGGAUUAAGUACCGUUAAUAAAGCAAUCGCGUGUUACUGCGUAAUAGCGGAGCAACGGCUCGUAUCAGACGACCUGUGCACGCGGACAUCUUGCGCUUGGCCAAGCUAAAUUCGGCACUCCGUCUGCAUGGUCUAAUAAUAAAUUAAUAACGUACUAUCGUGUUGUCCUACCCUUUUCUUCCUCGGUUUUAUACCUUGGCAAAGUCUGUUACAUGUGAAACGAAAAUUUAUUGCGCUCUUUAUUGUGCGCAGUUACUAAUCAGUUGCGGCAGGUAAUAAUCAUAAUUAUUGCCACGCUUAAGAGCGAACAAGAGAAUCGCGGCGUUCAAAUAUUGUACGGGAAGCAAUAAAGUACAUAGAUAUAUUUAUUCGGUAGAGAGGACGCACACUCUUUUUAUCUCUCUUGAAUUUCUCGGCUGUCGCGAUGAUCGCGAUGAACGCAACGAAUAGAGCUUUAGACAGGAAAAUGGAUUUUAAAACUCUUUGUGACUUAACGUGACGUGUGAGGAUGAUAGACAAACGCCAGAGAUCCAUCUUAUGAAGAAAUUGUUUUCUGCAGACCAGAGGUAUUGACAUCGCGAAGAACUCUUAAACUCUUUUACAGAGAGGUAUUUUACUGAACCGAUUUCCAAUAUGUAGAGCGAAAAUAUUAUACUUACCGGAUGCUGUGUGGAUGAAAUGAAAAUCGAACCUCUGGCAUCGAUGAAUUUCUCAUGGCAGCAUCAUACCUGCUGCCUAUCGCUAUGUAAACAUCAAUAUAAGUCGGGGAGAUGUUGAGGAAGGUUGGCUCUUUUAUAUCUUUUAGUCGUGAACUCAGUUAUUGACAGACUGCAUUUACAUAUAUUCGUGCGAAUCGAAGUUCCCGCGGGGAUAUUCCGCGAGAGCAGAUGCGUUGGUGAGUGGUGUAAAAUUAUUUCAUGAAAGAGAAAAAUCGAACGGAUAUGAUGAUUGUGAAAGUCUGAGGAGAAUUUUCUGUUUCUGGAAUUCUUAAUUCUUGCGAUGUAUUACACUGCACGAAUUAAACAGAAUAUUUGCUAAUGCAGAAAAUGCACGAAUUGUUUGUGAGAGUAUCGGAAUAUUUACAUAGCUCCUUGAUAAAAUGUACUGCGAUAUUUUGUGCGCUAUUAAUGUGAAAAGAAGAAAAAAAUAAAACAGCUGAGUAUUAACAUAUAAAUGAUUUUUUGCAUAUUG